rnacentral:lncRNA from 1 species
UUCAAAAAUCAAUUCGUUUUAUUAUCUUAGUUACAUUUUCCUUCGCCCUUCCGACACAUCCAACACUUAAACUAGCAUCAGGCAUAGAGGUGACCACAGUAAGUAUUCAUCAAAUGAAUACCAUGAAUAAAUGAAUAGCUGGGGAAAAACUACUCUCAUAAAGAGAACACAGAUUUGUACAGUCAGUUUAUUUUUGCUAUUUAUAUUAAGUUUACACGUGCCUGAUCUGUAGUGGAUAUCUCGUUGUUAGUUCAGCACCACUUCCUUCCUCUGAGACAGACUGACUCUUCCAUACAUAGACAUAGUGGGGACUGUCAAAUUAUUAUGGGAGCCAAGUCCCAGUUGAUUUGCCCAGUUGGAAUCAAGUAUGCAACCCCUAAUUCCUCAUGUCUAGGUCGUUAAUUAACCUCAUUUUUUUUCGUAUUUGAGAGCGAACUCCCAGACAGUGGUAAACAUAGAAAUGCUUAACACAUGGGAACUGUUAGUUGCCAUGUUCUCCACCUACAUCAUUAAAGAAGUUCAUCAGUAAAGAGAAUGAAGCUAACAGGAAGGAUGGUCUCCAGGGCUACUAACUCAAAACUUCAGACACUUUCUGUCCUCCUCAUGGUUUAUAUAUUCAACUUAUCCUUCAAUCAACAUACCCUAUAUCCUUUCCUUUUAAAAUUAAAUAGCAAUGGAGAGAAGUUCUCACUAUGUUGCCCCCGCUGGUCUUUUCAGCUUUCUGGUUGAAAAGGUCUGGGAUGGAGCUAGAGAAACUUCAUUUAUUUUUUAUUUUUCUGAACCUAUGGAUUAUACUAUUAUUUCUAGUGAGUCCCCAAAUGGUACCAAUGCUGCUGGUCCAGGACCACACACUUUAAGAACCACUGGCCUACAUUAAGAAAAUGGCAGGCAAAGAUCCUCAGAAACAAAGUCAACUCUCUACUAACACCUUGGUGGAAGAGGUGAUGGACAGUGGGGAGAAGAAAGUGCUCACAUAAAGUCCAAUUAGUGAGGGGCAGAGUGGAGUUAAUGAAAAGAAGACUUAGUCCUCACAGUCAUUCAAAGACCCAGACUGACAAUCUUUGCCAUCUUCGGUGGCUUCCAAACUUAUCCUGGAUAUGACCAUGCAACCAGCAGUUGGGAGAAAAGAAUGGAGGAUCAUGCAAGAAAUGUUUAUGGGGCAAGCCUGGAUUCCUAUGCCCACAUUUCACUGCCUAGAACUUAAUCAUAUGUUCUCACAGAGAUGCUGGCAGUACGGAAAUGUCCCUGGUUGGGUUGCCACAUCUUGGCAACGUAUCUUCAAAGAACAAGACUCUCUGGUAGACACCUAGCAGUCUCUGCCUUCAAACCCCUUUCCCAUU